rnacentral:rRNA from 1 species
UACGUAGGGUGCGAGCGUUGUCCGGAAUUACUGGGCGUAAAGAGCUCGUAGGUGGUUUGUCGCGUUGUUCGUGAAAACCGGGGGCUUAACCCUCGGCGUGCGGGCGAUACGGGCAGACUUGAGUACUGCAGGGGAGACUGGAAUUCCUGGUGUAGCGGUGGAAUGCGCAGAUAUCAGGAGGAACACCGGUGGCGAAGGCGGGUCUCUGGGGCCAUUCCUGACGCUGAGACGCGAAAGCCUAGGGGAGCGAACAGG